AUAUGUAGGGCGUAUGCCGCGU
rnacentral:misc_RNA from 1 species